rnacentral:rRNA from 1 species
UAAUACGUAGGCAGCGAGCGUUGUUCGGAGUUACUGGGCGUAAAGAGUGCGUAGGCGGUGCUCUAAGUUUGGUGUGAAAUCUCCCGGCUCAACUGGGAGGGUGCGCCGAAAACUGGAGUGCUCGAGUGUGGGAGAGGUAAGCGGAAUUCCUGGUGUAGCGGUGAAAUGCGUAGAUAUCAGGAGGAACACCUGCGGUGUAGACGGCUUACUGGACCAUGACUGACGCUGAGGCACGAAAGCGUGGGGAGCAAACAGG